GCUCUUUGCUCGUUGCAGUCUUCUCUCUCCCUUCCAGGCCACGCUGGGAUGUCACUGUAUACUCCAGAGACUACACCUGUGAUCACAGCAUGGCUUGACUCAGUAGAAUGGGCUGAGAGAAAGGUAUUUAUGAGUUCUGGGUUUGAGAUUUUGCUUACACUUCUUCUUUUUUGUGAAUGUUCCUGCCAUAUGCUUGCUUUUCAAUUUAGCUACCACCUGUUUUUGUUAAAAUUUAGUAGGUGCUUGAUUUUUCUGAGAACAAAAAUAUAUGAAUACUACUUCUAUUUUUAUUAUGCAGCUGGACUGCCUGAAAGUCUUUAUCAUUUUAAGUUAGCUUCUAAGUUGUUUCCUCUUGAACUUUAGAAGUGCUCAAAUUCAUUGCUAAUAAGUUAUUUAGUUGCAUGGUUUGAGUAUUUCCUGCUUUACCUGCCAGGUUGAGUUGAUGUUAAAAGAAACUUGCUUCCAAUGGAGAGCUCCUGCCAUCAACAUGUACAUGAUAAUCAGUGCCAGUUGCAUCUCUUUUAUGGAGUCUGUCAAUGUGAUUUCACUGUAUUU
rnacentral:lncRNA from 1 species